rnacentral:rRNA from 1 species
AGAGGUGAAAUUCCAUGAUCGCUAUAAGAUGCACGAGAGCGAAAGCAUUUCACUCAACUGUGUCCAUUAAUCAAGAACGAAAGUUAGGGGAUCGAAGAUGAUCAGAUACCCUCGUAGUCCUAACUAUAAACGAUGUCAACCAAGGAUUGGAUGAAAUUCAGAUGUACAAAGAUAGAGAAGCAUUGUUUCUAGAUCUGAGUAUAUCAAUAUUACCUUGUUC